rnacentral:tRNA from 1 species
GGAGUUGUGGCUCAGUAGUAGAGCACUUGCCUGGCAUGCAUGAAGCCCUAGGUUUGAUUCUCAGCACCA